CAGUAGCCACGGUAAUACGUAGGUCCCGAGCGUUGUCCGGAUUUAUUGGGCGUAAAGCGAGCGCAGGCGGUUAGAUAAGUCUGAAGUUAAAGGCUGUGGCUUAACCAUAGUACGCUUUGGAAACUGUUUAACUUGAGUGCAAGAGGGGAGAGUGGAAUUCCAUGUGUAGCGGUGAAAUGCGUAGAUAUAUGGAGGAACACCGGUGGCGAAAGCGGCUCUCUGGCUUGUAACUGACGCUGAGGCUCGAAAGCGUGGGGAGCAAACAGGAUUAGAGACCCCUGUAGUCCCUGUCUCUUAUACA
rnacentral:rRNA from 1 species